rnacentral:lncRNA from 1 species
GAAGAAACGGUGUGGCUGCAACACAGGGGAAAGGGGCAAAUGGUGUAAAAUAAGGCCAGUGGCAGGCAGGUGCCAGACGGCGUAAAACCCGAAGACUGUGUAAGAGCAGGCCAGCAUGGCUCUAAAGGCAAUAGGAUGACACCAUACGGUUUUAGAACCCGGACAGACGUGCUCCUAAUUUCAAGAUCACUUCUGCUGCUGUGAGAAUGGAGUAGUCCAGGAGUGAGGCGCGAGGACCCUCCCGCACUCACCAGGUCCGGCCGGUAGUACCUGUGCACCACCUCCGCGCCGGCGCACAUGGCCAGGAGACUGGCGGCGAACAUUUUCAGGGCCGCACCCACAGCAUAUUCCAUAUUCCCAAGCUAGGGGUUGAAUCAGAGGUGCAGCUGCCAGCCUAUACCACAGCUACAGCAACAUGGUAUCUGGGCCACGGCUUCGACCUACAACACAGCUCACAGCAAUGCUGGAUCCUUAAUCCACUGAGCAAGGCCAGGGAUCAAACCCACAUCCUCAUGGAUACUAGUCAGGUUUGUUACCACUGAGCCCCAGUGGGAACUCCAGUAUUUCAUAUUUUUUGAUGUUACUGUGAAUGGUAUUUUUUCUGAUGGUUUGUUGGUAGUAUAUAGGAUAUCACAAUUGAUUAUCCUUUACUGAUCUUUUAUUCUACAACUUUAUUAAACUCAUUUAUUCUAGUACCUUUUUUGUAGGUUUCAUAGGCUUUCCUACAUUAAACCAUACAAUGAACUCUGAAUAAAUACGGUAAGCUUUUUUUAUAGAUGUCAUUUAUCAAGUUAAGAAAGUUCCUUUCUGUUCCUAAACUGCUUAAAGUUUUCUUUAUCAGAAAUGGAUGUUGGACUUUGUCAAAUCCUUAAUCUGUAUCUAUUCAGGUGGUCAUAAGGGUUUUGAAAAAAUCGCUAAUAUGAUAAGUUACAUAGAAUGAUUUUUUCAAAUGUUAAGUUAGUCUUAUAUUACAAUCACUCCUCCACAUCCAUUGGUUCCACAGCCAGGGAUUCAACCAUUGAAAGUUAAAAAAAAAAAAAAGUCCAUAAAGUUCCAAAAAAAAAA